rnacentral:tRNA from 1 species
AAUAAACUUUUAUUAGAA